UGGGGAAUUUUGGACAAUGGGCGAAAGCCUGAUCCAGCAAUGCCGCGUGUGUGAAGAAGGCCUUCGGGUUGUAAAGCACUUUUGUCCGGAAAGAAAUCCUUGGCUCUAAUACAGUCGGGGGAUGACGGUACCGGAAGAAUAAGCACCGGCUAACUACGUGCCAGCAGCCGCGGUAAUACGUAGGGUGCAAGCGUUAAUCGGAAUUACUGGGCGUAAAGCGUGCGCAGGCGGUUUGCUAAGACCGAUGUGAAAUCCCCGGGCUCAACCUGGGAACUGCAUUGGUGACUGGCAGGCUAGAGUAUGGCAGAGGGGGGUAGAAUUCCACGUNUAGCAGUGAAAUGCGUAGAGAUGUGGAGGAAUACCGAUGGCGAAGGCAGCCCCCUGGGCAAUACUGACGCUCAUGCACGAAAGCGUGGGGAGCAAACAGGAUUAGAUACCCUGGUAGUCCACGCCCUAAACGAUGUCAACUAGUUGUUGGGGAUUCAUUUCCUUAGUAACGUAGCUAACGCGUGAAGUUGACCGCCUGGGGAGUACGGUCGCAAGAUUAAAACUCAAAGGAAUUGACGGGGUCAUAGCUG
rnacentral:rRNA from 1 species